rnacentral:rRNA from 1 species
GUGGGGAAUAUUGGACAAUGGGCGCAAGCCUGAUCCAGCCAUGCCGCGUGAGUGAUGAAGGCCUUAGGGUUGUAAAGCUCUUUCAGUGGGGACGAUAAUGACGGUACCCACAGAAGAAGCCCCGGCUAACUUCGUGCCAGCAGCCGCGGUAAUACGAAGGGGGCUAGCGUUGUUCGGAUUUACUGGGCGUAAAGCGCACGUAGGCGGAUCGUUAAGUCGGGGGUGAAAUCCUGGAGCUCAACUCCAGAACUGCCUUCGAUACUGGCGAUCUUGAGUCCGGAAGAGGUGAGUGGAACUCCUAGUGUAGAGGUGGAAUUCGUAGAUAUUCGGAGGAACACCAGUGGCGAAGGCGGCUCACUGGCUCGAUACUGACGCUGAGGUGCGAAAGCGUGGGGAGCAAACAGGAUUAGAUACCCGGGUAGUCC